CUGUCUAACAUGCUGCCUCUCCUCAAGCAGGGGGAAUGCAGGACUACCACCAGAACUCAUUUUUAGGGAGACUCAAUGGGUGGGAAAUUUUCAGACUUGGUGCAGACACUCACCAUAGAGGACAUCACGGAGAACUGUCACUGAGAGGCCAGGCUUCCUCUGCAGAUCUUCUAAUCCAUAAAUGCCAAGUGAGCAGGCCGCCCACCAAAAAGACUUCAACCGAAAAGAGAAAGUAAGGAGUGGCUGAAGAAUGCCUGCGAGCUGCCAUUAAGGUUCAGUGACACUGCCCACUAGUAGAGCCAGGCCCAAGAGUCAACCCACCGAAUAGAGUUUUGUCCAACUGGUUUGUGGAUAUUACAAUGAUGCUGGUGAAUGUUUCAUGUAGCUCUUGGCUGCCGUUUCACAUAAGGAAAAACAAAUAGAAAGACCUCAGGGCAGUCCAGUGAGCAUUCUUCAUGAAAGGAAAAAAUACAAGAGCGUUCUGAUGACAGGAUCAGCUAACCUAGGGAUCUUCAAACAUCUCUGUUCCCGUGGCCUCUAAAAAUAUUUGGAAAAGCUAUGUAUCUACUUCCUUACAUGUUUAAGUUGAAAAUGAUAAUUGUAUUACAAGUUUAACAUUUUCAUAGA